AAAGGAAGUGCCCGCCUUCGCGCAGCCUCUUAUACUAGCCAAGCGGACCAAUCGGCGCCCGAGUCUACCGGAAGAGGCGGGACUAGAACAUCUCGCGACAAUACACCAAAGACGCCUGCGCAGACACGUAUCUCGCUUGUUUGCGGGUUCAAAAAGUUAAUAGGCGUUUGCAGACGCUAGUUCCCGAGGCUUGGGUAAAAUCUUAGGGCUUGUGAACAGUAAAAAUAUUUUUAGCAAAAAGUUGCCUAGAUAAACAGGUAUCACUCCCACCUGCUGUAGCCCGUGUGAGAGUGUUUAAGCAGGCAGUGACCUGCUGAAGAGCAGGAAACAGGUUUUAACCUGGAGGUCCCGGUGCUUAGUGCAGCUUCUCGGAUAAAAUGCUAAGUGAAUAUAGGAGAAAAUGAGAAACCUGCAACGUUACUGUAGCAGAGGCAUUUGAGCGCCUACUGUGACCCAGGCACUGAGCCACACUCUGCAAGGAUUCAUUUAAUCCUCACCCAGCAUAAGAGCUUGUGGGAUCUUAGUUCCUGGUGCAGGGAUCGAACUCGGGCCCUCAGCAGUGAAGGCGCAGAGUCCUAACCACGGACUGCCAGGGAAUUCCCUCAAGUGACAGUACAGUCAAAGGUGAUGUCGUUUCUCGAGUGCUUCAACCAGCCUGGGGAGAGUCCGCUCGUCAUUGAUAUCCAAAAUUUCGCAGGAUGGCAGAGGUGGAAAACUCUGCAAAACCACUUCUGAAACCAGCAGUUCUGUAUUGAGUUAUUA